GAGACGGUGAGACAGCGUGCCAGGUGGACCCCAGCGCAAGGCGUGCGUGCUUGCAGGGCGGUGACAGCGGGGUGGGGGCGGAGGCGCACCCCAGGGACCCAGCGGCCCACCACACCCGCAGCGAGGACCGACGACGGGCCGCCCGACAACUCGACCGAGGGCACAAGCGGCGCGGGGCCGCACCGCGGCGUCGCGGAGGGACGAGGGGGGAAGCCCCAAGCUCCCCCACCACCACCACACCCCAGACACGGACCUCCCCCUCGACGGCCCGGGGCACCGAGCAGUCACGUCGGGACCGGCCGACACGCGCGCGCCCUCGCUCGAGCGGACAGGAGAGGGGUGGCAACGAGGGCCAAGGCCCAAGGCCCCUCCCCCCCACCCACCCAGGAGCGGCACGGCUAUGACGGCCGGCCCGCAGCGGGUAGCCGGGGGCCCGCCCGCGCCCCGGGGGGNNNNNNNNNNNNNNNNNNNNNNNNNNNNNNNNNNNNNNNNNNNNNNNNNNNNNNGGCGGCUAGCCGGGUCCCGACUCGCGCUCAGGUGAGCUCAGCAGAGCCGGGAGGGAGGGGCACGCGGCAGGGGGUGGGGGGUGGCAGAAGGCCACCCCUCGACCACACGCAACGACACCGGCGGACAGGCGGGGCAAGGAAGCGGCGGCGGGCACGGAGCGGGGCCGCAGCGGGCCCAGGAAAGCGAGACGCACCAGGACGCCGGUCCGGGGGUCGGCAGAUGGGGACCAGACAGACGGGAGGUCAGACAGACGAGCGGGAGCGAGGAGGGCGAACGUGGGAGCGGCCGGCAUCGAGAGAGAUGCCACAAAGGGACGGUGGCGGAGGGGGCGGCCGCAGGCCUCCAACGAGGGAGAGGAGAAAGGACCCAGGCACGCCAGGCAAACCAGCACGGGGUCACACCACCACACACACGAGGGCAGUCCCAUGACACCUGGGACACCAGGCGGCCUCAGUCGCCCCAGAGCACUCCACGACCCGGCCCCACCACCAGGGCCCCAUGUGCAAAGGCUUCCCCCCCCCUGCCACGUGGGGGGGGGGCUCGUCCGCCUCAUCUCACCCAUCCGUCCAUCUUUCCACCCUCAUCUCAUCCGUCCUUCACCUAGUCCACCCUCCAGGGCCUGACGCCUGGGGGAAACGCUCCUGAGCGAGGCGGCCCGAACCAUGCUCGCUCACCACCUCCACACCACCAGCUGCGACCCCAGGCGAGUGCGGGAAGAACCGACAGGCGGCUCGCAGCGGGGGAGGCAGGGGCAGAGGCCGCCGGGGGACGGGGCGCAUCCCCCUCCUCCACUUCCCCUUCCAAGGGGAGGGGCACCACGUGCCCACGCAGCACACAGCCCGGCGCUGGAUGCCAAAACCCGGCCCGGCCCGGCGUGACCCUCCCCCAACUCGGAGGGGGGAGGUACAGGCCGCAUUAGGCAAAAGAGCAGCGCUUGGCCCCCACCGCGGGGGCCAGCGCACCCCUCGCGCGAGGGCGGCUCUUGCCCACACGCUGUGGCAAGUAGCACCGGCAGCUACUGCCUUGCAGACUUCAGGAGGGGCGGCGGCUGGGGGGUCCAGGUACCCCAAGGCCCCCCCUCUCAGAUCGCUAGAGAAGGCUUUCUCACCGAGGGCGCGUCGUGCCCCCCACACCAUCGUUCGCCCCUUCGGGGACCCACGGGAGUGGGAACACUCCCAAAAAGUGGGAAGUCAGAAGGGGGGGGGUCUGCGGUAUGGGUAAAGCACACAGCCCAUGUGAGCGUCCACGGUCAGAGCCGGGAGAGCAAGAGUCUGUGCUGCCACCAGGCUUGCCUUUCAGACUUUUCCACGUGGGUGGAGGGGUGCCACGUCCGGAAAGCCAGACGGGGACCCCCCCUUCACAUCUCCCGGCCCACCGCGGUCGCUCUCACGACCACAUGCAGCCUUCCCGGUCAAGGGAGAAGCAUGGGGCGUGCCGCUCAAGGGCCAAGGGCUGCCCUCACUGGCACACAGUGAGGGAGACCCAUGACAAGGGGUCCACCUGAGCCCCUCCCGGGGAGGGGACACAAGCUUCCCCUGCCUUACCGUCUCGACCCCCUCCCCUGAGCUUUAGGAAGCUGCUCGUGGGGCACGCCACCACCACAGUGGGGACCCGAGGGGACUCACCGCUGGGAGAGGAAAACGACACCACCGCUCGGCCUCGGGCAUCUGACAGGCAACCCGGAGUACUCCAGGGGCACCACAGAGGACCAGGGGAGGCACGCUCACGCACCCGCAGGGAUGCGAAGCAUGGCAGCGAGGGAGGCCUCCCCCCACUUUGGGGAGGGACCGCUCGCAAGGCACACGCCAAGGAGGCAAAGCGAGAAUGCCUGCUGCGUCCCAAAGGACCCAGGCCCCCCCCCCCGCCUGACACCCGAAGGCAGCAGGGCGGGAGACCAGAGGUCAGGCUGGAGGCCGCACCCCUGCCUUCCCCCACACCACCCGCAGGUGGGGGAGGAGCAGCGAGGGGCCCGCGACAGAAUGAGAGGCGCGGCCCAGCUCACCAUGAGCGGCCGUCCCUCAUCUGGCGCGGCUUAAGCCCAAGCCCAGGAGAGCGCCACAUCACCACAUCGAUCAGUCCUGGCAGAGCCAGGGAAGAGCCCAGAAGAGGGGAGGGAGGGCCAGCAAAGACAAUCACCACGGGGGCCUGCUUCAGCUUCACCGGCACCCCCUCCUCCUCCUCCUCCUCCCCUUCCUCUCUCAGGGGAGAGACAGCGGCUGACAACCCCGGGAGGGAGAAUGCCUGACACGUGGCACGGAGCCAACAGGGUGGGGUUGUUCCAGCCGAGCCGCCGGGUGCCCGCAGCAGGGAGGCACACAGGGUAGAAGACCCCACAGGGCCACGCGCCCUGCCGCCCUCGGGUCAGCCAGAGACCGGAGGAGACACCGCAGCACGGGCCAGCUGGAUGCACAAGUGAGAGCCGGCGCACAGGCCCAGGCGAGCGGCCCCCACGCGGGGUGCAAAGGGCAGGGUCAGGCCUUGGACAGCAGCCGAAAGCCCAAAGCCCCCCACGUGCAUCCAGAGGCCCAAGGUCUCCAGCGACAGGCGCUGAAGAGGAUCGUGUCAGCAUCUACCUGGUGACAGAAAAGGCGUAUUUCGGCCGCGAAAAAUGUCCAUGCCCAGCAGCGGGGCCGAGGGGACACCGCAGCAUGGGCCAGCUGGAUGCACAAGCGAGAGCCGGCGCACAGGCCCAGGCGAGCGGCCCCCACGCGGGGUGCAAAGGGCAGGGUCAGGCCUUGGACAGCAGCCGAAAGCCCAAAGCCCCCCACGUGCAUCCAGAGGCCCAAGGUCUCCAGCGACAGGCGCUGAAGAGGAUCGUGUCAGCAUCUACCUGGUGACAGAAAAGACCUAUUUCGGCCGCGAAAAAUGUCCAUGCCCAGCAGCGGGGCCCACCCACAGGACGUGGGGGUAUCCCCGGAACCCCCAUCCGGACACUUGUCCCCCAGCCCUGCCCUAGAGUCGCCAGACCUAGCGCUCUCAGAGCCAUCUGGUCGACCCGGGGAGCGUGACCGCAAGGAAGGGACAGGGACAGGAAGGAGGUGGAGCCGGCCGGCCAGCCGGGGAAGCCCUUCCCGGCUUGCCCACGCGGGCAGGUAUCGGUCUGUCCGGAGCUCCAGACGGGGACUUGGCUCCCCCAAAAUCCAGGACACACCAUCCAGCUCAGGCCGGUCCCCACCUCCCGACCGAUCGACCGACCGACAGGGAAACACUCCGAGGGCGGGGGGCGGGAAAUGAGAGCGUGGGAAACGAAGUCUUGUCCAACGACCGGGACCCUACAUGGGCACGCCUCAGGCCCAGGUGCACCCUUCCCGGCCACACCCGGGAGCAGGGGGCCGGCGGGGUACCGUCCACCGUCUCCGGAUCCAUCAGGACUUGGAAAAAAAAAUGUUUCCACGGAGGCGCCUCCGACGAACGGACCCCGCGAAGGAAGGCGCCGGGGCCCGAGCCACCCUUUCCGCUCCACCCCUCACGUCUUGUGCCGGUCUAGACCUCGUGAGUACGACUCCGCACGGGCCGGCGGUAGCCAUCAGUCGGGGGGCAGGCGGGGAGGGACCCAUGCCGGCAUGACGACCGGGAAACAAGCGUGCCGGCCACCGAGCCUGUCGCGCCCUCCAACGCCCUCAGCGCACAACCCGGGCCGCUCCUCACUUCGGGGAUGAGAGGCUGGAGGGACGGCGGGCGGGAGUCAUUCACGCUCCAAAGGGCGACCCGGGACAAGGCCAGGCCACCCGAGCACAGGCAGUCCCGGGCGCCGCACACCCUCUCCCCUCGCUAGGGAGGCGGCCCGGCCCAGGCCUGGUCGGUCCCCGGGGCCGGAGCGGCAAGAGCGGAUGCUGGUCGACCCGGCCAGGCGGCCCCAGAGCCUGCCUGGGGAGCGCGGUGACAGUCACUCCCUCACAGGCCUGCACGCCCAAUCUCCGGGGAGAGAGGGACACUCCCAGGCCUCUGAGCCACCGGAGCUGUCGCCGCCAGUGUCGCCAGCCUCCCGGAACUCUGACUCAGGCCGGAUGGCUGAGUCACAUCCCUCGCGAAGGUCCCCAAAGCUGCAGAGGGAAGGGACGAUAUAAAAGCGGACACUAGAUGGCACGCGACACCCGCCACCAACGUCACCAGGACAGAUCCGGAAGGCCGGCCGGCCGGCGGCGACACAACGACACAGCGCCGGCCACCCAAAUGCCCGAGCUCUUCCCGGGGCCGAGGCGCCAGGCGUCCUGCACGACCGCGAAGCUUGCCUCGCGGAGCUGCCUCCUGGCAAGGCACUGCGUGGCGUGAUGGCAGCAGAUGGAAAGAGGGGGGCGGCGGCGGCGGCGGCGGCGGCGGCGGGGAAGGAGCUGGGAAGAGGUUCUCGCUGUUGCCUAGAAGGAGCCGCGCUCGCUCCCCCAAGCAUGUCCCUUCCUGGGCUUGGGAAUUCCAGAGAGAAGCCGGCGCGGUGAGGGUGGCACUAGCGAGAGAGAUCUCAGGUUCCCCUCCACCUUCUCUUCUCUCCCCCACCCCCACCCCACCUCCCUGCACGGAGCUGGAGGAGGGAGGGAGAGAGGGAGGGUGGGAGGGUAGGCGGGGACUGGCAAAAACGAAACCGGGCAAGCUCUCGGAGAACGACAACGCGGGAGUCGGUUUACCUGCCACCCUUACCGACGGAGACGGUCUGUCAAAAGCAGACAAGCAAAGCCCAGAAGCUUAGGAAGGGAGAGAAGGAUACAGUCGAUCCUAGGAAAGUGGAAAUGAAAAUCUCUCUCUGCAUAGACUGAGACAAAGUCCAAAGAGAACAAAUGGCUGCCUGGGGCAAAUGCUCUGGUGGUCAGGUCAGAGAAACAUGGAUUUCAGCAUGACUGACCAACCAGAAUGGAGGGAAAGUACAACGCAACACUAUGAGUGGGUGUGUGUGUUGGGGGGGGGGGUGAACUGAAAUCUCAUCCAAAACAAAACAAACCAAAACAAAAAAAGGAAAACAGCCCCCCCCCAAAAAAAACCCAAAAAACAACAGAAGAAGAAGAAGAAGAAGGAAGCCCGCGACCAACAGGGUCAAGGCUCCGGCUUUCUCAACGCGGUGGCUCUGGUUGCCCCUGUGUGGUGCAGGUUCCAUCUCUGGCUCAGGAAAAACUUCCACUUGCUGCCCGUGUGUGUGGCCAAAAAGUAAAACAUAAAGCUGAAACAGGAGGGAGAGGGGGUGGAGAAAACCCGAAACA
rnacentral:lncRNA from 1 species